GACUUAGUUUAAACCAACUCCAAAGACUGCAGAGUUGACUGCUGAUUAAAAACUUGUCUUUCUUUGUCUGAGAAGGAAAUAGUAGAUACAGUUUCCCUGAAUGUGUCACAUUUGCAAAUUUGAUUUUCGUUUGCAGCAUUUGAAAAUGCCAAUGACUGGAAAAAUAUAACUUGAUUAUUAACAAGCUAGACAUAGUAACUGAGGAUUCUCCUUGGCAUCUACCCAUGCUUGUGUGAUAAAAAUAAAUUGGAAGAAGUCUAAAUAUGCAUUUAAAGGUGAUUUUAGGAUCAGCAAUCUAACAGUUUUUCUGGUCACCCCAUGCUAGUAAGUCCACGGGCUAAUUCCAAAGUACGGUGGGUUCUUAGAUGAAUAAAAUCUCUAGAUUCUAGUAAUGCAAAAGGUCAGUUUUGAUUCAAUGUGUUUUGCCAUUUGUGAACUGAGCCUGAAUCUUUAAAAAAGUAAACACAUUCCAGCCAUUUUAUUUCUACUCUCUUUUAGAGACGUGCAAUCAUUUUUAAUGGUUAAACCUGUAUUCAAUUGCAUUUUUCAAAUCCUCAUUGUUUCAUUUCCUUUCAGUUCUGCUAUCUAAAAAAUUUUUUCCACCUCAUUUUUCCUGAUCAUUUGUUCUUCAUACAUAUUCCACAGCCACAGCCCCCUGGUUGCCGAGCACUAGGGAGAGUUGAUAAGAGGAAUGAGGUGGUGUUCGGGAAGGAAGGAGUCAGCCCCUCCUAACCCUGCUAGCCACAGAAAGACUUUCAGAUUUCUAUCGACUUAGGAAUGGAGUCUAUUGGAAUGUGGUUCAAACCUGCAUCUUGCAUCAGUGGAAAUGGGCAUUGUGAUUGCUGUACUGAAACCUGUGCUCAAAUGCACUGGGAGUUUUACACUGUGUUUCGAACUUCCAAAUAGAUAAUGUCAGAACAUUUCUGAAAUGGGAUACUAACACCAAGAUAUACGACACCAAUCAACAAGUAUCAGGCAAAGCAGCGCGUAGAACUCGGGGCGGAAGAGACUCCCAGAGAAUUUCCAUUUCCAUUCCCUGUGUCAACAGCGUGGUAACUCACCUCCUAGAUUGCUUUAUGGUUUCAGGAGAAAUUCUCAGUAGGCUCCCUGUGCUGUACUCAGCUCCGCGUUCAAAGCCCAGGAAUUAGAUAUGUCGUAGUUUAUGAAACUGUUUAUGAAAGGAUCUUUUUUGAAUUGUUCAAAAAUCCAAGAGGAGUCAAACUUUGACAGUUUAAGACAACGGCAAGAGGGUCAUAGUGAUCUCCCCAGUGCAGCCUUAGCACUGAGGCUCUCUGGUUGAAAAUGCAAUUUCUUUUCUGUGAAUUUCUUCCAGCCCGUAAAGCUCCGUUUGAAACUUCUGCCUUUUUGAAGGGAUUUCUUUACUAUGAAGCAGCUGACAAAGGUCAUAUGAUGAAUAUGUUUCGGGGAUGAUAACAUUUUGAUUAGAUAUGCAAGAAUCUUCUAUCCUUCCCUAGGAUGUCGUAUUCUAACGUUUUCCAUUAUUUUAAAAAAUCAUGUAAGUUGAUACUAGUCUGCAAUAAGAACUUGAAUUUUGUGGCUUAUUUUCUUUGCUGUAAUGUGCCAGCACCGUGGGCAUCGUUGCAGGGAAUAAAUGACUCUUCCCCAAUAAACCAAAUGCCCAAAGAAGCCCCUGGAGGAGGCAGGGAUGUCCAUAAAAGUUGAAAUGGAUUUCAUAAUAUGGCGUUCAAUUUAGUAUAAUAAGUAGAAUUCAAAAAUAGCCUAAUCUGCCAAAUGAAAAUACCUUUGCUCAUCACGGAGGGAGGGACCUGGUACAGGAACCAAAUGUACAUGACUUAAGACAUGCCAAAAUAUUUUUUAUUAAAUUAUUCAUUUUCUUCCAUUUAAGUCAUUAGUUACCUGGAAAAUUGAAGAUCUUUCUCUCUCUCUCCCUCUUUAAGCUUGAAAAAUUAGCCCCUUAAAGACAACUACCAGAAAGCAUUUAUCAAAAGGCCUAUCCUGGUUCUGAAGCUUAUUGAGAAAAGGUCUGUGUUUGCACCUUUGUCGUUCUCCUGCAAAGAUUCUCAGUAACAGAAACUAUUUCGAAAAUGAUGCCGGUAAGCGGACAUCAUUAAUUGUUCUCUAAUUCUGGGAUUGCUGUGGAAAAUGAAGCACCAAGACUCAGCCUUAGAAGGCAAAGUGCGAACCUGUUUAGAAGUUUGAUAGAUGACAUCAUGAUGUUCAGAAGAAAAAACGGGCACUUAGAGACAGAAGCACCCGGAGAGUGAUGGGAGCGGGCUCUGGUUCCUGUGCCACUGGGUUUGAUGAAAAAUCAGCACAAAGACAAGAGAGCAGGGAAAAUGAAGAAAGAUGAGGGGACCCUCAAACCACAAAGGUGUUAAACACGCGCUUUCCACAAAUGCAGUUCUUCUAAAUCAUGUCCCCAGAAAUCAAAAUGAUCCAAUAAUUGCUGCAAAGUAUGUAUUUACCAAGACAAAACUUCUAAAUCUCAUUUUGGAAACUGAAGGUUUGGGAGUUUAUUUAAAAUUCUUUUUAAAAUUUUUUCCCCUAAACCCUUAAUAACAGAGAAAUGAAAACAAUGGACACAUCAUCUGACGCAGUUUAAUGAUGACACUUUCACAAAAUGUUCGUGCAUCCACGUUUUACUCCGUUCUUAAGCAAUGUGAUCCAUAAGCCGACUCCAUUUGAAAAUGGCAGUUCCACCAGGCAGCAGGAGGAUUUUCCCUGGAGCUGGUCCUCCCGUCACUGCGCCACUUCUAACGCCCGUGCAGAUUAAAAGCUGCCAUGUAUGGGCAGAUGUGGAUCCUAUAUUUUGAUUUCAUCUAAUUCUUCUUAAACUGGGCUGGCUUAUUUAAUAGGAGGACGUUGUGGCUCUUGCUGAAGGCAGAAUUAGCAACCAUUCCAUUACCUUUUAAGACAUCUGUGGACAAUCUUUCCCAACCAUAAAAUCAUUUCCAUUCUCCAACCAUCAAGUUUUCAAAUGGAUUUCGUAAAUGUGCAAAAACUCCAAGCAAAUCUAUUUUUUAGAAAUGUCAGGCUGCAAAUAAGGACAAUCAGAAAGGGAGAAGCGAACACCAUCUGUCAAUGCCCCACCGGCCUUCACAGCAGCCCAGUUCUUAUGAUUAACCUAGCAUACUCCCCAUAAAGUCUAAAUCAUUCUCACCUUCCCAGGAGUUUGUAAGCCAGACAAUUGUGAAGGGGAAUGACUCAUAAUAUGACUGCAAAAUUUCACAGUUGAAAGUCAAAUAGCAAUGAUUUUGCUUUGCCAGCCUGACACCACCUUGACCAUGUGGAUGUGAGUCCCUGGGCAGUGAACAUGCUCUGUGAAGCGUUGGAGUCAUGUUGGUGCAAGCAGCUCCUUGGUUUAAAAGGUGCUAGGACAUGGUCACAGAGGGCAUCGGGCACUUUUUUCUCCAUCAAAAUUCCAUACAUUAUGAUAACUGGGGAAUUAAUGCCAACCACAACGACAACAUAAAACCUCCACCAGUUAUGCUGUGUAUGAGUCUGAGUUCUCCAGAAAAAUAAUAUAUAUCCUAUUGGUUCUCUUA